rnacentral:piRNA from 1 species
UGUUAAAUUUGAGGUGGACGUGGAG